GACGAACGCUGGCGGCGUGCUUAACACAUGCAAGUCGAACGGAAAGGCCCUGCUUUUGUGGGGUGCUCGAGUGGCGAACGGGUGAGUAACACGUGAGUAACCUGCCCUUGACUUUGGGAUAACUUCAGGAAACUGGGGCUAAUACCGGAUAGGAGCUCCUGCUGCAUGGUGGGGGUUGGAAAGUUUCGGCGGUUGGGGAUGGACUCGCGGCUUAUCAGCUUGUUGGUGGGGUAGUGGCUUACCAAGGCUUUGACGGGUAGCCGGCCUGAGAGGGUGACCGGCCAAGUGGUGACGGAGCCACAGCCCUGCGCGUGGGGGGGGGCAGCAGGGGCGAAUAUUGCGCACGGGGAGGAAGCCUGCUGCGGCACGCCGGGGUGGGGGAUGAGGGCCUGCGGUCUGGAACCCGCAUUCGCCGAGGACGAAGCGGGAGUGCCGGUAAGGGAAAAAGAAGCACCGGCAAACUAGGCGCAAGCAGCCGCCGGAAAAGAACGAAGCGCCCACUCUGCAC
rnacentral:rRNA from 1 species